UAAUAAGCUCGUAAAGAGGAUAUGCGCUAACAUACCCUCUUCGACAGAGCCGUUUAAGACGGUAACUAGUUUAGAUUAUUUUUUUAA
rnacentral:sRNA from 1 species